rnacentral:rRNA from 1 species
GAUGAACGCUGGCGGCGUGCCUAAUACAUGCAAGUCGAGCGAACAGACGAGGAGCUUGCUCCUCUGACGUUAGCGGCGGACGGGUGAGUAACACGUGGAUAACCUACCUAUAAGACUGGGAUAACUUCGGGAAACCGGAGCUAAUACCGGAUAAUAUAUUGAACCGCAUGGUUCAAUAGUGAAAGACGGUUUUGCUGUCACUUAUAGAUGGAUCCGCGCCGCAUUAGCUAGUUGGUAAGGUAACGGCUUACCAAGGCAACGAUGCGUAGCCGACCUGAGAGGGUGAUCGGCCACACUGGAACUGAGACACGGUCCAGACUCCUACGGGAGGCAGCAGUAGGGAAUCUUCCGCAAUGGGCGAAAGCCUGACGGAGCAACGCCGCGUGAGGGAUGAAGGUCUUCGGAUCGUAAAACUCUUUUAUUAGGGAAGAACAAAUGUGUAAGUAACUAUGCACGUCUUGACGGUACCUAAUCAGAAAGCCACGGCUAACUACGUG